CCCGCCCGCGAGGCCCCGCAGGGCGGGACGGACCCGCCCCGCCCCGCCCCGCCCGAGCCGCCGGCCAUGAGGGCUCCGGGCGGGCUGUGGGGAUGGACGGAUGGCGAUGGGAUGGGAUGGAUGCCAGCCCCUCACAGUGUUCCUCGUUUUCUUGUCAGGACAGAUUCAGAGCUGGGUGGGAGCAUCGCUGGCCCCAGGUGUGUCGUGCAGUGAUGUCGUUGGUCAGUCAGCGUUCACAGAUUCACCGAACAGGUCAAGUUGGAAGGACCACAAACUCAGUGAGUUGCCUGCAGGUUGGGGAAGGACUUGUAAUGAAGGAGGAUUGAAGCAGGAAGAACUGCCAUUGUGCCUCACUCACUCACUCCCUGCCUCAAGGUCCAGGAGGUGGUCGAUAUCCCCUGCACACUGGGCAGAGGUGCCUUCUGAGGCUGCUGGAGGAUCAUCACCUUUCUGUUAACGCUGGGAUCUCACCUACCACGGCAUUCAACUCAAUACCAUGCUGUGAUAAAACACUAACAGCACCCUGCUCCUCUCCUUCCAUUCUGCUCUCCUCCCUACUUCGGUGUACUCCUCACUUUUUGCCUGUGCUAGCCAAUAAGCAAGUUCUUCAGCAAUAUACUUUUUAAGACAAGUAUUAGCAGUGCAGCUUUGUUGGUCUCACAGCUGGAACCAGUCCCUCUUAGGCUGGUGCCUUCCCAGAAUGCUCACUAAAAAUAAAACUUUUCAAGAUAUGUGAAUAAUUUAUUGUCCUUGUAUGACAAAUGACAACACUCCAUGGCUAAAUUGCCCUUUUUUACUUAUCAACUGCUGCAUCCAUCAUUUCCAAUAAAAAUAAAGCCAGCAGUUAUCUCUGGGAAGAGCAUGUCAUGUAACCAGUCAUGCUGAGAAAAGAAAGUGAUGUCUCCUCAGGUCAGAAGGAAUAAAUUUUUGCAGGUAGAACAAACUAAACAUUCCAAAAGCUGCCUGAGAAACUGAAGACUCAUCAGUUUUAAACCUGUCAUUGUUUAUCAUAGGUAAGGGUCUCUGUUUUGUUAUUUGAGGAUGUGCCCGUAUUUUAAUCUCUGCUGUAUAAAGUCAAAUUCACCAUAUUGUCUUACACAAUGGUGCUGCUCUGUGCUGCGGACUUCUGAGGAUGUUAGUGGGCAUUCCUAGAUCCAGAAUACCAUUCCACACAUCACUGAAAGGCUCUGGAUGCAAAUCCAAACCGGAUGUCUAAAAACCCAGGGGUACAAGGCCUCCUGCCACUGUUCCUCAAGGCAAAGGUGCUGCUUUUAUAACUGCAGCACUUUCUUGUGAGUGGCAGAAUAUAUUUAGAAUAUCCAUGUAAUACUGUGUAGAGAUCCACUGUGUGGGAGGUUGAUCUAGGAGUGGGACAGUGUCCUCUGCUGCUCCCAGGUCCAUCUGUGGGAAGAGACACUGAAAGCUGGAACUCUUUGAUCUUCUCCUGCUGUCUCUUGGCACACAGCGUCCACUUUGCUCUCUCCCUAAAAGUGUCAGUGGCUUUUCAUAUCCGCAGCAUCUGUUGUUCAUAAAUGGAUGAUUCCUGUGGAAAUCAUCUUGGGAAAGGUGAGUUUUAGUAUGAAAUCUUGAUAUUUUUUAGUCCUCUUGAACACUGGCUGGAGCUCUGCACAUAUAUAGAAGGGAAACCUUCCUGCUCGAGGCUUCUGUGCCUCUCAGUCCAUAUAACUGAGCAGAGUUGGGAAUUUCCAUGUCAGCAUGGAAUUUCACAUUGCUCAGAAAGGCUUUGGAGUAUGGGCUGUGGGUCCAGCAAGGAAUGCAGAGAAAUUGUGUGGUUUACAGUCAUGAGAAAAAGAGAAAAUAAAAAAGAUCUGAUGAGGAUAGGAGUUACUACCUUGUGAAAUAGGAGGUUUAGAAGCCAUUUGGGGAACAGAGAGAAUGAUCAGCAUCAUGAACAGGGAAGGCACAGCACAAGCAGGGCUGUAGGCAAAAGGUAUUUUCUAUUCCCAGGGCUAAGCCAGAAUUAAUGAAGAGCAAAGCCUGAGGAAAGCACUCAGACCUGCAGAGUCUGAGCCAGUAACCCAAUGCACUCAUUCACACCAAAUUACUGUGUGCUUUUUGUUAUUGCAUUGGACUCAGUACAAAAUAACACUCAGUUUUGAAGGGGCUGGAGUUGGUUUUGUAGGCUAAUGUUUGCUGAUGUGCAGGAGCAUGCACCUUCUGCCUGUAGCUGCUUUGGUAUCAAAAAACUUAAUGUUUUAAAAUCCCAGCAUGAAGAGCGUAUAUAUGGAAUGCCUGUGUUCCCUCCCCUCUUCAUCAGAGGGUGGAGAAUUAAACCAAAGAGCUCUGCAAAACCUAGAUUUAUUCCUUAUAAAACUGCAGUACAAGAAUGAAACAAAAUAUGGAAAUAUUUUAAGAAACAACACGUGGAAUUUUUUUCUCCCAGAGAUGGAAUUUCUCAGGAAUUUUCACUGUGAUGCUUCCCCAUUCACUUCCCUUCAGCUUGGUGCAUUGAAGAGGAGGAGCUCAGAAGGACAAAAAGCUUUGCUUUGCUCCCCUCUGCUGCAGCCCGGACCCUGCAGGAGUGGAGCCUUUGUAGUUCCCAGUGUGGCUUCUCCCCUCACUCCUUGCUCCCAGUGCUGCUGUCUGGCCUGUUCCUUUGCAGGUUUUAGCACUGAUCAUUGUCAGCUCCAGUAUCUCAGAGUUUCCUCUGUUGCUAUGUAAAAAGAAAAGCCACACAGAGAUGCGGUUUGUAUAAACCUGCUCUGUGAUUUGGGAUCUGUUUGAUUGGUGGUGAGACCAGUGCUGGUGCAGCUGAAGCUGUUUUCAGCCUUUCUGAGCACAUCUAACUCCCAUAUGUUCUCAUAAAUUCUAGAGUAUUUUCCUGUCUUUUUUAGCACAUUUGUUCUAUUUGUGAUGCUGCCUUAACGUGUGUCUCACUUGGUGCCAUUUCUGCCUUCAGUUCUUUCAUGCCAUGCUCAGACCUUGGCCAGCUUCAUCCCACCUCCCCAAAAAUCCUCCUCCUGGGCCUGCAGCACAGGAAUCUUCAAGGAGAGAGGGGGAAGAAGUGAAAAGAACAAAAUACAACAGGACAAUCAAGCCCCCUUGAGCCCUUCCUCAUACAUCUCUGUGAUGCUUCAUCAUCUCUAAAAAUAGAACUUAAGUCCAUUGGGAAUCACAACUCAUCUUUUGUUCUGUGAAGUACCCCUUGGGUUGGGAGUUUUGUUUUAAAAAGCCGUGGAUGAGAUAGAAGGGUGGGCAUUAAGGUGCUUUGUUUCCUUGUUCUCACUAGCAGAGUGAGCACUUCUUAGGGGUGAUGAUCGACUUGAGAAUGUCCAAACCAAGUUGCCCGUUGCUUUUCAGAGCUGGAAUGAAAGGAGAAGGGAGACCACAGGAGCCUGAGGCAUCAACAUGCAGGGGGAUUUGGGCAGAAGUGCAUGGUCUUCCCCAACCAGGGCCCUUCUCACCUCCCAUUACCUUAAACAAAUAGAAAAAUAAUAGCAUGAGUAAUUAAACACAGAGAAAACAGGCGGGAUCAACUGAUUGAUCUUUUGAUGAUAAAUCAAGUAAAUUGACACAGGUAGGAGUGGAAAGCAGAGCUCAAAGGGUGAUCUGUUUGAAUUGCAGUCACAAUUUGAAACAGCAUCUGUUGCCUUCUUGGGUUGAACUGAACACUUCCAUGCCUGGGAUUUUUUCAGAAUUGACUCACUAAGACUCUUCAGGGGGAGUAAAAUACUAAAAAGUUCUAUGAAAUUUGAGUUUGGGCUGCAAGGGAUUGUAAAAGACCAUUGCUCACAUUUUGUGGAAGCUCAGGUGGAAGCCUGGGACAUCCUCCUACCUCAUGGCUGUGCCAUUUUCUCAACUGGGGACUCAGAUAAAGGUUUGGCUUCAGCUUCCUCUACCCAGUGGGUAUUACUCUUCUGCAAUUUCCAGAAAAUGGCAGGAAAAAUCCAAUCUGUGCUCAGAAGGAGAGAGCUGGAAUGUGAAGUAACAUGACAAAGGCAGAGCAGAGGGACAUGAACUGACGGUGAAGGGCAAGUCUGCAGCCCUGCCUGUAAGUGAAGUUUCUCUUCAGUCAGUAUUUCACUGUGUGAGCAGUUUAUUCUGGACAAGGAACAUCUCUGAAAUGGUGCAGAAUGUUUUGUCCUGCCAGGAGCAGGGGGUGUGUGACCACACGGCCACCUUGGUGUCAUGACUCAGAGUAUUCCCACAUGGAACAGCAUCCCUGGAGGAUCGACAGGGAUCAUUUUUGUGAAGUUUCUUUUCCAUCUACGUGAUGUAGAGAAGCAUUUGACAAAUGAUGAUGGCAAGCGUAACUCUGAUGAUAAAAGGCACAUGAACAGU